CCCACAAGCUCUCUGGGCAGCCUGUCCCAGUGCUCUGUCACCUCACACUAAAGAAGUGCCCCCUCAUAUUGAGCCAGAACUUCCUGUGCUUUACAUUCACAUAUAUGGAUUCCUUAGUCUAUUGAAUAAUGCUGCAUUCACAUCAUUGCGCAUCCCCAAGAAUGGAAUUAAGAUGACGUGAUGCCUUAUUAUCAUCUGACUUUGCAGUUACCUUACAGGGCUUGGUGUCGAUAGAGCCUGUCUCCCCCACUGUCUCACAGAUACUUCCCUGAUGCACAAAUACUCUUGGACCCUCCUGCAUACACACUUCACAUUACACACUUCGAAAUUAAUGUGCUACAAGGCUAAUUGCAUCUAUCAGCCCAUUAAGCAAAACCACAUGCCCUUUCUUAUGUGAAAGCCAGACCUCUGUGAUGGUAUACCCUCGUCUUUCCUGGAAACUAAUAAAAAUGUUAGCGAGCCCUUUUAAGAUGGUUUCUGUCUGCAUAAUCACUUCUGCUUAAUUUAAAUAAGGCAAGAUUUUAUUUGCAUUUUUAUUUUUUUCAGCUGAAAUAGGGCUUUGAAAAGUUGGUGAACCCUGGUAUAGUGCAUUCGAAAGCCAGACUCUGAUAUUCUUUCUACCCAUAGUGUUCCUAAGGUUGUUUACAGAAAUCAGGGUAAGUCCUGUAAUUAUAAAAUGCAGGAAGGUCCUCAGCAGACUGCUACAAUACAGAAGCCUUUAAUGUAUUUAUCACACUUCUCUAAAAGUUAGGUGAGUUCUUGCGUCAAGUAACAAACUGAAAAUCUUGCUCAAAAACUUUGUCUAGUUUUAAUCUUAGCAUCCCUCAACAUCAGUUAAGUAUUUUUUCUUGCCCCUGAAAGAUUAUAGGCACAGUUAUGUUCCUCUUACUCUUUGUUUAGGUAAGGCUAGACUCCCAGGCCAGUGUGUUUUUGUUUUUUUUUUUCCCAGCUUCUGAGACUUGUUCAUCUUUUCUCAUACCAGCACAGCACUGCUUCACUGUGUCUCUUUGGACUUAUCGUUCUUUUCUGGCACAAAUGAUACACUGUGCUUAGAUGGUUUCUUGCAGUAUCACGUACGUGUACGGUGACAGGAACAGCUUCCCAUUAUUCCUGGAAACAUCUCAGUUACUACAACCUAUGAAUGCCUUUGUUUUUUGCAUGGUCUUAGAGCAUCGACAGCUUGUAUUUGGUGGUAGUUCAUCCACUGCAUACUCAACUGAUUCUUAUUCUGUCUUGCCUUCAGCUUCCAAGUUGACAGUUUUCAGCUGAACUUUUUGCUGUUAGUUCAUGACCUUGUAUUUUAUAGUCUUACCUGUACCCGCAUCUUAAUUUCUUGCACCAUGAAGGUCAUCCAGUUGCAUUUUAAUCACUUCUGGGUGAUCCACUCAAAUGAAUGUAAACACUUCUUGUGUUUAAGAAUUUGCAUCAUUUGCAGCUUUAUUUUAUAAUUUAGUGGUCAGCCACUGGAUUUCAACAGACUUCUGGGUGACAGUGGAAGAAAAUCACCCAAAUCAUGUCUCGUGUCAGGGCUGCAACCUAUAUAUUGCAGUAUUUCAGUAUUGCCAGACAUAGGAGGUAAAAAAAAGCAUGAAUCAGUAGCAAAAUACGGUAAGAUUAUUUUUAUUUAAAGCAUUUCGGUAUAGAGUGCCUCUUCUAUUCAGUAUUUUUUCAGUUAGUGCUUUCACAGCUUCCUUCAAAAUAAAAAUAAAGCCUUGUUACACCAAACAUGAAAAAGGAGGCUAUUCAUUUAGAACACGAGAUGAAGUGGGAAGUUUUUCAUACAACAUAGUGAAAGAGUAUUGCUUCUAUAAUAAUUUUAAGAUGAACCUACUUCAUAUUUCUUGGAAGUGAAUAAAAAGUCUUGAAUCAUAGCCCGAAUAUAACAUUCUGAUUGCUAUCAGUGAUACACAGCACUAAGUAGUUUAUUACUCAUUUUAUUACCUGUCAGGUACUGGCUAUUUAUGCUUACUGACGUCCGUGCUUACACAGCCCAGUAAUUGGAUACCUCGCCAGCUGCUAGUUGCAGUUUUGUGUAGAGAGGGAAGAAAAAUUGCUAAAAGCAAUUGAGGUCUCACUGCAGCAUUAUUAAUGAUGAAGGCAAAAGAUCUUUUAUUUGCUUUCAGGGGGGUUGCUGGGAACUGCUGGGAGGGGUGCAAACAGAUGGUGCCCCUCUCAGGAGGGUAAAAUUUAGGGGAGCCAUCGCUGUGCCACUGUACCACCUGCAGGCCUGUGGUGCUCAGGCUGAGAGCAGCUGGGCCUGCAAGGACUUUGGGAUCGUGGGUACCCAAAGCAGUAAAACAUCUUGGCAAAACUAUUUGUCACUCAUUGACAGGGUGGGAGAAGUACCACAGCUGCACCUGAGAUAAACCUAAUUUCAGUUCUCCCGUGGAUUUCUUGGGUUAAGUCAUCAGAUAGCAAUAUUUCUGGCUGCUGUGCAGUGCUGCUGGGCUUUGAGGGUGUUACAGGUCUGCUGUUCCCUAGGGCAGUGGGAGAUGGGCGGUGGGAAGGCCUAGUUUGUUCCUAAGGAGCUCUGAAACCUCCUGCACGCAGUCACACUCAGCUUUGCCCUGUGGUAAGUGUAAAAGAGACCUCAGCCUUGGUGCUUAAGGGACAUCAGCCUGUUGGUUUUUUUUUGGUUCCUCAGCCCUUAGGUCACAACGUGCUUCCAAGAGAGUGGUUAUGGCCCAGCCAUGCUUUCUGGCACCCAGAUCCCUUGUGUCCCUGCUGCAGCCUCUCCUACUGACUCCAGUGCCACAGCCCUGCAGUCCCACAUCCUGAUCCUCAUUCUCCUGUCGGUCUCUCCAGGUUUCCAAGUGGCAGCGACAGCAGUAAUAGCUGUAGGGCUUAGGCUUUUUAACCCAUAUUUGCCCUAGUCAGCAUUGCAGAGGAACAUUUGCUUCUCCUCGCCAUGCUACUAAGAUAACAAGUCCACAUUCUCUGACAGAUUUCAGUAUUAUUUUUUUUAACUGACCUUCCAGGAGUCCUACACUGUUUCUUCCUCUGUUCUGCCUGUGAAAUACUUCAUUGAGAGUGAUUUUUGGCAAAAGUCCAGGAGAGUUGUUGGUUACUGUGUUAAUCCAGUCAAGGGAUGUCUGUAACAAAACAGCUGUCCUGGGGUUCCUGGUCUGCACUUUGAAACUGCUGUGGGCUGGUUCUUUGAGGAUCCACAUAGCACUGACACACAGAUUAGGGACAUGGCUUAGUGGUGGGCUUGGUGCUGUUAGGUGGUGGUUGGACUUGAUGAUCUUAAAGUCCUUUCCAACCUAAGCAAUUCUGUGAUUCUGUGAUUCACAAUUAUAUUUGACCUGCUUGUGGAGGAGGAGAACUGUGAGCUCCUGAGUUUUGAGAGCUUCCACCCCAGCUGGGGUGGAGUGGGCAGACUUCCACUUUCCUUAUGACUGGGGCAGGUGAAAUAAGAACUUGCCUGCAGUUCAUGUUUUCUUCUUUGCAAAGCCCAGAUUUAUGCUUUCCAGUGAGGCAGAAGCACUCGGAGGUUAAAGUGCAUGGGACAGUUAGAAGUAUUAGUCAUGUUUGUAUGUACAUUUUAAUUAAAAGUGAAAUGAAAGUGGCUGACUUGGCAGGCGGGGAGAUUAGCAGCUUUACAGCUUCAUGUGGACAGAGGGGAUAGUGUCAUGUACUGUAGUCUUGUGAAAUGCUUACUUUCCCUGCUUUCUCUGAAGAGAGGAGAUGAAAUCUUGUUCAGAUCUGGUGAUGCUGUUGGACUACCGUCAGGUAUGGGUAUAUCACAGCACAAAGACAAGAGCAGAGGGCAUCAGCAGUCCUCUGUACACAUUCCUUUCCCUUACAGAGUCAAACCCUAGAAAAAUGCCUACGUAGACAUUCCAAAACUUGACGUAAAUGUUGUCUAAAGAUCCUGUUUGCAUUCACUGUUUAAACAGAUCGACAAUAUUAUGAUGUGCCGUUUUAAAUGAAGACCAGAUACAAGCUCAGAUAAUUGCACCUUUGAGUCUUAAGAAUGCAACUUUGGUUUUGUAAGCAGUCUGCACUUUUGUGACAGAUCAAUGCAAACACACGGAUCACAUUUCCUAGACACACAGUCUGGAGUAAUCACCACAGAGGCUAUGGCUCUGAAUUUCUGGAUUGAAUUUGUGAGCGGAAAGAGUCUCUCCAAGAGAUGUCAUUUUGAUUUCAUCCUAGACCCUGCGCCAUGCUUGGGUCUGCUCCCCAGAGCUUGCUUUGACCCCUGGCCAAGUCAGUAGGGCAUUGUGAGUAUUCAGGACGUCCCUGGGCAUGCUCAGUGACCUCAUUACUCUCCAAAUUUAUAAACAAGGACAUAAAAGAGGCAUCCCCGCUAUCUUAUUGGAAGCCACAGAAGCACUGUGGGAUCGUCAUUUCUUUGGAAGCUUUGGGCUUUCCUCCAUGUGCCAAGAGGCGGUUUGACUGCGAUCUCUCCAUCUGGCUCAGUGCUCUGGCAUCUCCUCAUGUUGACGGCAUGGCUGUGGGCAAAAAGAAACAGAGAUAGACACAGUGAUGAGAACUGAUAACCGGAGAUGCUGUGAAGACACCCUCUCGAGCCCUGUUUCAGAUGGUAGAGUUUCUUCUCCGCCACAGACACCAAAUCAGAAAUAUCUCCAUCCUAUUUCCAGUAUGACCCCGUGUUAUAAAGGGUGUUUUAGCUCCUGUGAAUAUCAAGUAACAGAACUCAGCGAUUGCAGAGCUGAAGCAUAAAUAGAAAGAGGAACAAGCAGCAGUGAACCGCUGACACUUCAGCUGAGACUUGGCAAGCCCAUCUGGAAAUGCUUGUCCCAGCAACACACAUCACAUUUGCACAGUACCUUCGUGAUUGCCUCUGUGUACAAAGUUUAUAUCAUCACUGACCUACUUUUUUUUUUUUUUUUAAUGCUGGCAGUGAAAAGGCAGAAGUUUAAUGUGAAGGGAAUUACAAUUCUUAAGUAUUUCACGUCGUUCUGUAUUUUCCUGUGUGUGUAUAUGUGCGCAAACAUUGCCAUAUGCUCACUUAGUCUGUAAUGAACUGAGACUGUGGCUGACCUGUGUGUUAACUUCCAGAGGGAAUUUGGCUCCUAAUGACAUCUUUUGAAAAGAGAUAUUCGACUUACUGGUGCAGCACCUCUGAUGUCAUCUGAGAAGAAGUGUUGAAACAUCGUUAACUGGCAUCAAAUACCCUCAUCUUUGGCAAGAUGUUUUUUUUCUAUCCACUUACUCCUGUCACAAAGGAUGCUGUGACUUGCUUUGCUUGGAAAUAAGUAAAUCUCCUUUGACAGAAAUUCCAGACAUAUGAAACUGGUGAAUGAGCUUGAAGAUGGCAGAAACCACCUUCCGUGCUCUUCCCUUCUGUGCAUCACCGUUCAUUUCCAAGGGGUUUGAUGUGGCUCAGCUCAGAGUUCGCCUGGAGGUGGUAAAGCUGCAGAAGUGGAACGCGUCCUGGCUGCCAGGGCUGGGGCUGGGCUGUACGGACACGGUCGCUGCAGCCAACUGCCUGGGCUGGAGCAGGGCGUCCUGCAGCUGCACCCUGCCAGCGUGCUGGGACUCAUCAGCCGUGACUGCGGCAGGACGUGCCUCAUGCCAUGGCUAAUUAGAGCAUCAGUGUACAUUGUUCGGUAAUUAGUAAAUUCUGCUAAGAAUAGCCAUUUUAAGUGGUCUCUUCACUGGUAUUCUUUCAUUAAAAAAAGAGUAGUUCUAUAA